UUAUAAGAAUAAGCCGUAGUGCGGGAGUAGGCAUUUUCACGAUGGCACGGUAUUACAGGACCGAGGAAGUAGUGGACAUCCUGAUGCGCUCCGACAGCGAGGAUCUUUCCUCUUCACCCGCCCAGAGUGACUCUGAUUCCGAGGAUGACACGGAGGAGUCGUCUCUCCACACCGAUCAGCAGGAGUCGCCUUCUGAUUUUUCUACUGGAGAUGAGAAUGAGGGGGAGACGCACAAGGAAGCAGCGGCGUGGACUGCCAAAAAUGGAAAGAAAUGGUCCCCGACAAACACCGAGACGCUGCGCUACGUCGCAGCACCCACGGGGCUUAUUCCAGGACUAACCCACUACGCCGUCGCCCGAAUUUCAGACCCACUCUCCAGCUUCAGGUUGUUCCUAACCGAUGAGAUUAUACAGCAUAUCGUUUCAAUGACAAACCUUCAUGGCAGACGGGCAAUCUCAGAAUGGAGAGAUUUGGACAGCGACGAAAUGCUGGCUUAUGUGGGGCUGCUCAUUUUGGCCGGUGUAUACCGGUCAAAACACGAGUCAAUCAAAAGCCUUUGGAGUGAGAAAACGGGAAGGAGGAUGUUCCGGGACGCGAUGUCCCAGAAAAGAUUUUCGCACAUUUGCAGGGCCCUCAGAUUUGACGACAAGCUCUCCCGACCUGGACGCUGUACCGACAAAUUGGCUCCCUUUCGGCAGGUAUGGGACAUGUGGGCACACCGCCUGCCGAUGUUGUUUAGUCCAGACCGAGACCUUAAGGUGCGGUUUCCGCCAGUACAUCCCCAAAAAGCCUGCUAAAUACGGCAUAAAGAUCUGGGCAGCCUGCGACGUCAAGACAUCUUACGCCUGGCGGCUGCAGGUUUACACCGGGAGAGCAGCGGGCGAACCAGCCGAAGUAAAUCAGGGGAUGAGGGUCGUCCUGCAGAUGACCGACGGGCUCCAGGGACACGUCGUGACAUGCGACAACUUUUUUACCUCAUUUGAACUGGCAGAGGAACUCCUCAAGAAUAAAAUGGCUCUGGUCGGCACAAUUCGCCAGAACAAAACAGAAAUUCCACCCGUUUUGCGCCAGACCAGAGGGAGAGCCGUCUAUGCCUCCACCUUUGCCUUUUCAUUGAAACACACCCUAGUGUCCUACAUUCUAGAGUACACGCGGUACAAGUUCGGAACAGAGCAGCUGUGA